rnacentral:lncRNA from 1 species
UCUAUUUCCUGUUGACUUUGCGUUCUUAGGCUUCCUUUUCCCCAUGAGAUGGCAGAAUGGCUGCUUACAAUUUCAGAUCACACCCUUUCCAGCAGAAAGGGAGUUUCUUUUCCCUGAUGCUGUCAACAAAAGUCCCAGGACUACAUCCCAUUGGUCUAACUUGUGUUACCCGUGCAUCACUAAACCACUCUCCUGAGAAGGGGCAUGGAACAUUCUGACAGCUCCUCACAAAUCGCGUGGACUGAGAUUUGGGGAGAGGUGGCUUCCUGUGCUAGAUCAUUUCUGUUGGCCCUUCCAGACCUACUCUCCACCCUUUUCCUUCCUGAUUUGAACCUCAAGAGGCCAACCUGCAUGGACUGCUUCCACAGAUCCCUUGUCCUCUGACUUACAGUUGAAUUCACCAAAUAGAAGACAUUGGAAAUGAGACCCGAGGGUUGGAGGAGGAGGAAGCCUGCAAUGUGAACACGAUGGCUGGAGCUCCGGCAGCCAUUCUGGACCAGGAGGUAGCCUUGAAGAUGGAAGCCACAUGUUGGGAUGGUGAAUCCAAAAGAUGAGGAGCCUGUAUCCCCUGUGACACCAGAACUGCCAUACCAGCCCUGGGUUCCUCCAUCUAUACUGCCUUCAUAUGGUAAAGAAAUAUUCUUGGAUCUUGUUAGGUGUCUGUUGCAGCCAAACACAAUCCCAACUGAUAUUCACUGUAAAUGAUUCCAUGGCUCCCUGUAGUACUUCUAC